ACUCAAAUGAAUAGACGGGGGCCCGCACAAGCAGCGGAGCAUGUGGUUUAAUUCGAAGCAACGCGAAGAACCUUACCAGGUCUUGACAUCCCCUGACGACCCUAGAGAUAGGGAGUUCCCUUCGGGGACAGGGAGACAGGUGGUGCAUGGUUGUCGUCAGCUCGUGUCGUGAGAUGUUGGGUUAAGUCCCAAAACGAGCGCAACCCUUGUAUUUAGUUGCCAUCAGGUAAAGCUGGGCACUCUAGAUAGACUGCCGUAGAGAAUACGGAGGAAGGUGGGGAUGACGUCAAAUCAUCAUGCCCCUUAUGACCUGGGCUACACACGUGCUACAAUGGUCUGAACAGAGGGAAGCGAAAUAGCGAUAUGGAGCCAAUCCCAGAAAACAGAUCACAGUUCGGAUUGCAGGCUGCAACUCGCCUGCAUGAAGUCGGAGUUGCUAGUAAUCGCGGAUCAGAAUGCCGCGGUGAAUGCGUUCCCGGGCCUUGUACACACCGCCCGU
rnacentral:rRNA from 1 species